rnacentral:rRNA from 1 species
AACGAACGCUGGCGGCAGGCCUAACACAUGCAAGUCGAGCGCGCCUUUCGGGGUGAGCGGCGGACGGGUUAGUAACGCGUGGGAACGUACCCUUUUCUGCGGAAUAGCCUCUGGAAACGGAGAGUAAUACCGCAUACGCCCUUUGGGGGAAAGAUUUAUCGGAGAAGGAUCGGCCCGCGUUAGAUUAGAUAGUUGGUGGGGUAACGGCUUACCAAGUCUACGAUCUAUAGCUGGUUUUAGAGGAUGAUCAGCAACACUGGGACUGAGACACGGCCCAGACUCCUACGGGAGGCAGCAGUGGGGAAUCUUGGACAAUGGGCGCAAGCCUGAUCCAGCCAUGCCGCGUGAGUGAAGAAGGCCUUAGGGUCGUAAAGCUCUUUCGCCUGUGAUGAUAAUGACAGUAGCAGGUAAAGAAACCCCGGCUAACUCCG